rnacentral:rRNA from 1 species
GAUGAACGCUGGCGGCGUGCCUAAUACAUGCAAGUCGAGCGAACAGAUAAGGAGCUUGCUCCUUUGACGUUAGCGGCGGACGGGUGAGUAACACGUGGGUAACCUACCUAUAAGACUGGGAUAACUUCGGGAAACCGGAGCUAAUACCGGAUAAUAUUUCGAACCGCAUGGUUCGAUAGUGAAAGAUGGUAUUGCUAUCACUUAUAGAUGGACCCGCGCCGUAUUAGCUAGUUGGUAAGGUAAUGGCUUACCAAGGCGACGAUACGUAGCCGACCUGAGAGGGUGAUCGGCCACACUGGAACUGAGAAACGGUCCAGACUCCUACGGGAGGCAGCAGUAGGGAAUCUUCCGCAAUGGGCGAAAGCCUGACGGAGCAACGCCGCGUGAGUGAUGAAGGUCUUCGGAUCGUAAAACUCUGUUAUUAGGGAAGAACAUACGUGUAAGUAACUGUGCACGUCUUGACGGUACCUAAUCAGAAAGCCACGGCUAACUACGUG